CACAACACGUUCUGGCAUGCGUGCUCUUUUAUGGUUAGUCUUUAAAGCAAAUUUUAACCUAGAUACAUAUCUCUCAUCAGUUAGCAUGUAAUCAAGUUAAAAGUCAUUAAUUAUUCUACAUGUUAACAUUGUGUUGAAAUAUUCUAUAAAUUGAAUUAAUUUAAAAUAUACUUUUAAUAAGCAUAAUUAUUCAAUAAUUAUACAGAAUUUUUUUUUGACUAAAGUAUGUAUUUCUAACUUAUAUCUAUUUAUAUUUAUUUUAUCUAUCUAUAUAUCUACUUAAUCAGUUUUGCAAUCAAGCACAUUCAUAGAUAUUUUUUUGAAAAAUUUACAAAUUGAUUUUUUCGGAAAUUAAAUUUUAUAUUAAAAAAAUUUUAUUUUUUAUUUUUCAUGUUUAUUUUUGUAUAUAGCUACAUCUAUUCUUACAUAAAAUAUAUACAUCUACAUAUAUUAAUCAUCUAUUAUUAUAUAAAAUUUAUUCGAAUAUUUUUAUCAAAUAGAUAGAUUCUUUUAUCAAAUAGAUAGUUUCGAUCGUGAAAGAAUUGGGAAAAAUGUUAUUACAAUCAAUUAUUAAUUAUUCGUAUUGUUAUUUAAAGACUGCAUUUAUUUAUUACUUAAAUAAAUUAUUAAACAAAUAAUAAUGAAUUAUUUGAAUAAAUAAAAAGAAUAAUUUAAUUAGAAUAAAAUGUUAAAAAAUAUGUAACGAAAAACAAUUUAUUUUGUUUAUUAUUUCAAAUAAAUUUUUAUUUAAUGAUUUUAUUUUAUUAAAAACAAUGAUUAAAUUUGAUUAAAAGUGAAAAUUAAAAAAAGUGAAGUAAAAAUUAAAAAUACAUAACUCAUUAUGUUCUUCUUAAAUUGUAUUAAAUUGAAAAUUGUGAUUUAUAAUUAUUGUUUAUUAAAGAAAUCAUUUGUACAAUUCUAAAUUAAAUAAUUUUAGUUAACUUUGUUUCAUUUUUAUAUUAUUUUGAAAAUAACAUAGUUUAAAAAAACUUAUUGUUAAUACUGUUUAUCAAGAAAUAGAUAUUUAAAUGAAAUUAGAGCGGAUUAUUUUUAAAAUUAUUUCUGAAACUAUAUGAAAAUAAUUGUAUAAGACAUAAGAAUUUAAAAUAGGAACCAAUCCUAUGCAAAAUCUCAAUAAUUUUUAAAGCAUACUUAUAAUUCUUUCAUUUUAAAUUUUACUUAAUUUUUUAAUUUUUUAACGUUUUUUUCAAUUUGUUUUAUUAAUAUUAUGUUAAUCUAUAUUACAAAUUAAUAUAAAUUACACAUCAUAUAUCUAUCAUAAAAAAAGUUAAAAUAAGGAAAAAAAUAAAAUAUAAAAAAAUUAAUUAACUUUAAUAUUAAAUAUCAUGAUGCUUUAAUAAAAAAGACAAUAAAUUGAUUGAUGUAAUUUUAGCAUAUUUUUCAUUUUUAUAUUUUUAUGAUACAAUUAUUUUUAUAUUUACUGCUAUAUAUGUAAUUAUUACUUUAUUAUAUAUGAAUUUAUAGUACAGUUUUUAUUGUAAAUGAUUUCUUGAAAUAAUCUUUGUAUGAUAUAAGAGCAAAAAAUUGCGAUUAAUUUAUUUACAAAUAUCCAUUUGUAUUCUAUUUUAUAUAAUUUUUUUUAUUUAUUUUUCAGCUUUUUUUUAAUUUAAUAUUUAUUCUUAAAAAAUUUAUUCUUUCAUGACGUUUUAGUAUUUUUUUAAUUUUACAUCCAAUUUUUAUUUUACAUUAUAUUUUUUUCAAAUUUGAUUAAUUUUUAUUUUAAAUAUUUCAAUUUUUUAAUUUAAAUAAUUUUUACAUUAAAUUAAUUAUAAUUUAUUUUUAUUUUUAUUAUAUUUUUAAUUAAAAUAUUUUUAUUUUUUAACAACUUUCAUGUACAGAAAUCUAUAUUAUAUUUCAAUUUUCGCGCCGUUAAAAUAACUAGAAAACUAUUUGAGCCAAUCGGAAAAUAGCUAAAGAACUCCAACAAAGCAAAUCAGUAUACAUCAUAGUGCGCAUGUCAGUAGUGUACAGUUGAAAAGCAUUGUGACAGGUAGACGUUUCAUUUUACCGGUAAAUAUAUUUCUCAACUUUUAUGAUUUUUAACGUCAAUGAAAGGAUUGAUUGAAUGCAAAUUCUUCACAUCUAAUGAAUUUCGUUCGAUCCCUGGAUAAAAGUAUUUACACGUCCAUUUAAAAGUUUUUUUACUAUAACUGAUUUCAAACAAAUAUGUUUUUUCGUGGGUAAGUGAUUUGAAACUUAAUAAUUUUAAAUAUAAUACACUUAUAUCAAUGAUCAACAUUGGAUAAAAACAAUUUAUAAUCCUUUUAAAUAUUAUAAUAUGAUUCUUUAUAAUAAAUCAUUUACAAAUAUGAUGUCUAUAAAAGGAAA